rnacentral:ncRNA from 1 species
AUUUUUAGAGCUUCUUUUUCAUUUAGUGGAAGUAUAACUUGAACACUUCCUUUGCCAAAAGUUUCUUCUCCUAUUACAACUGCUCUUUUUAAAUCUUGCAAAGCUCCACUUACGAUUUCACUUGCACUAGCACUUCCGCUAUUUACCAAAACAACAAGAGGCAAGUCAGUAAUUUUUUCAUCUUUUUUUGCGCUAUAUUCAAGAUUUUCUUUUGCAUCUCUUCCUUUUUGAGAUACUAUUACGCCUUUAUCAACAAAUAAAUUUGUAAGUCCAAUUGCUUGAUCUAAAAGUCCACCUGGAUUAUUUC